rnacentral:rRNA from 1 species
ACGGAGGGAGCUAGCGUUGUUCGGAAUUACUGGGCGUAAAGCGCACGUAGGCGGCUUUGUAAGUUAGAGGUGAAAGCCCGGGGCUCAACUCCGGAACUGCCUUUAAGACUGCAUCGCUUGAAUCCGGGAGAGGUGAGUGGAAUUCCAAGUGUAGAGGUGAAAUUCGUAGAUAUUCGGAAGAACACCAGUGGCGAAGGCGGCUCACUGGACACAUAUUGACGCUGAGGUGCGAGAGCGUGGGGAGCAAACAGGA